rnacentral:rRNA from 1 species
GACGAAGGGGGCUAGCGUUGUUCGGAAUUACUGGGCGUAAAGCGCACGCAGGCGGUCUGCUAAGUUUGGAGUGACAGUUGGUGGCUUAACUGCCAAAGUGCUUCGAAAACUGACAGACUUGAGGGCUUCAGAGGGACACGGAAUUCCGGGUGGAGUGGUGAAAUGCGUAGAGAUCCGGAGGAACACCAAAGGCGAAGGCAGUGUCCUGGGGAGUACCUGACGCUCAGGUGCGAAAGCCAGGGGAGCGAACGGG